AGCGCCAUCUUAAGAUUGCGCUGCGCAUUCUUAGGAUCGUUUAAUUGCGCGGCAAUCUCGAGAUCGCGCAAGGGUUAUCCCCUAACACAGCUUGCUGAUGGACAUCCAACCUGAGAGCAAUGCUUUUGAAAAUUAAUGAUUGAUCAAGUACAUUUGGUUGUAAUCUUGCAUCCGGAUUUACUUAAUGAAUAAAGAGAUACAUCUAAUAA